AGAAACUCUGUGAUUUGCAUAUAAUCUACAUGUACAUUCCCUGUGUGCUUGUGGGGAUAUAAAUAUGAGUGAGUGCAGGCAGGGGCUCAGUGAUCUGUAUCAGGCCUGUGUGCAGUGAUCAGUAUGGUGUCCCACAGCUGCUUGCUGCCUAUACUCAUGCUCUGGCUUCAGGGUUCCUAUGGGCAGAUUGUGAUGACUCAGUCUCCAGAUUAUGUCUCUGUGUCACCAGGAGAAACUGUCACCAUCACAUGUAAAGCCAGUAGCAGUCUCGUGUAUAACUCUAAAAGCUAUUUAGCCUGGUUCCAACAGAAAUCAGGGCAGGCACCAAAGCUGCUGAUCUAUUUCGCAAACACCCGACACACAAGGACCCCAGAGCGGAUCAGUGGCAGUGGGUCUGGAACUGAUUUCACUCUUACAAUCAGCAGAAUGGAAGCAGAAGAUGCAGCAGAUUAUUACUGUCAGCAGCAUGGUUGGAUACCUUUCACACAUUGAUACAGAGCUCAACAAAAACCUUCCUCUUUUAUAAUAUAGAGCAGCACCUUCUCUGUAUAAGCUUUUUCAAAAUUGAAAAAAAGGAAAUAACUAAACCACAGAUAUAUAAAUAUGUACAUUCAGUUUUAGAAAAGAAAG